UAUUAACACAUUUGAAUUCUUGUUUUAAAUUACAGAUGUAAAAAUAUGAGAUGAAUAAGCCCUUGUUUAUUUAUAAGGUGACACAAGAUACUUCUACAGAGUAUAAACGAUCCGGCUGAACUCGGAUUUUUCGCUUUGGGGUGUAUUGUACAGGAGCAGCGAACUGCAGGUGCUCUUUAAACACGUGGACUUGAAGAAGAUGGAGAAAUUCGGAUAGGAAGGAUUUCAUGCAACUUAAAGGAGCACUUACGGAAACUAGAGUGGCUGCCGUGUAAGCAGCGGCCAGCACGCCGGCUGGCUUCGACGAGAUUGACGACGGUAA